rnacentral:piRNA from 1 species
UAUAGUUAAAUGAUGUCUUCCUGGAAUAAA